UGCCUUCAACUGAUAGUUUUAGAGAGAGAAGUAUCAUUUCAACUCCCAUAUCUUUACGUAUUGUUUCAAGAAAUGCCAAAUGCCUUUCAAAAUAUUAUCUCAGAAUGUAAGAUUUAAAUACACCAACAAGUUUUAAGAGACAAAAUCCUAAUUUACUUUCCUUCUUUCCCUUUUUUAUUGAACACUCACCACAAAUUUCUUAUUAGAUGAAACAUAAAAAGUUAUCAACAAAUAUAAAAUCAGCCUAAACAUAACUAUCAGUCUAAAUUUUGGUCUUAAACUAUCACUAAUUUUAUAACUUUCUUCCAUUUAAUACAGUCACUUCCUGCAUGUUCAUGAGUUUAUAAUGGUCAUAUAAAAUAACUUUUCUCUCAUGACCUUUAGUAGGAAAGAAAGAUAUUUGUAUAUGAGAGAAAAAGAAAUGAACUAAUAAGUAAAUAUUUUAAUGAAGAAAGAAAAAAUGUAUUGAGUAGAGAUGAAGAUUAUCCAAUCUAAAGAUUAGACAUGCACUGUUCUUUUGGUUAUGAGAUUCUAUUAUGGAAAACAAAACAAACUGAGUAAAUAGAUAUAUUAAAACAGGUAGAAGUCUAGCCAAAUUUUGACACUCUUGAAAGACUUAAUAAUGAAAAGAGAUAGGUCCACAAUUAAGACCAGUCUACACAUUAUUUAAUUGCCUGCCAAUCCCAGAAAAAUUGAAUUUAGUCACCAUUAUUAGAUGUGGUUCAACAAGAGUGUCUUGGAAGCUGCUUAUGAUAGGGCUACAAAUGAAAGUGUCCUAAAUUUUUAACCCUCAUGAAGAGAUGAGGGACAACCAGAAGAUCUAGCUAUGGGCAACAUCGAGGAAGGAGCACUGGCCAGCUUCAUAAAUACAAGUCUGUGUUCUAGGGAGAAGGAAGAAUGGAAGCAAUCUUACUCAAUAUUCUUUUGACUGAAAGUACAGAAACUCAUUUGAGAUAGUUUAUGCAAAAAAAGGGUAUGUAUUCUGUAGAUAUAAGUGUAUAGUGCUACUCAAAGUGAUUUAGUGUUCGCCUUGGCAGUACAUAUACUAAAAUUAGAAUGAUACAGAGAUUAGCGUGGCCCCUGUGCAAGGAUGACACGUUCUAAAAAUUUAUUAAAAUAAAAAAAAAGAUUUAAAGAGCAUGAUGGAAUUUGGUAUAGAAAUUGAGAAGAAGCAUUUAGAAAGUUGUGAGCAAUUUGAGAAAGCAGUUUUUUGCCUGCUGAUUCUUUAAUAAAAAGGCAUAGUCGCUGUGUGAUUCCUAUGGCGACUGUAACACAUUACCAAAAACUUCGCGGCAUAAAAAAAAUUUAUUCUGCCACAGUUCCGGAUGCCACUCCAGCCAUCCUCUUUGAAGAAGGGCCUUGAGCUAAAUGAAGCAUCUUUGCCCCCAUAAGCAGAGAAGAGGAAAUGCUUGGAAUUUGCAACCACCAUGCCUCCCAAGAUGGUCACAAGCUAAUGACUCAUUGGUGUGGGAGUAUGAAAGCCCAGUUCCCUUGCCUUAAGUCAGGACAAACAGUGCCUUGUAACUUACAUUCCAAAAUUCCCUGCUGAAUCAGACUGGCAUCACCCCUGCUUGAAGUGGUACCCUGGCUUCUUACCUUCCCUCCCCUCCUUCCCUCAUUCCCUUGCCAAUUUAACCUGGAACACUUCUUUAAUAAAUUAUUUGCAUAUGAAUUCCUAGCCUAAUAUUUCCUUAUUUUGAAGAAAUUUACCUAACACAAAGAGUAUCUUUCUUUUUUUUUUUUUUUUUAUUUUUUUUAUUUUUUCGAGGCGGAUUCUCGUUCUCUCUCCCAGGCUGGAGUGCAGGGGCGCGAUCUCGCUCACUGCAAGCUCUGUCUCCUGGGUUCACGCCAUUCUCCUGCCUCAG
rnacentral:lncRNA from 10 species